CGGGGAUUGCCCUAGUAACGGCGAGUGAAGCGGCAACAGCUCAAAUUUGAAAGCUGGCCUUCGGGUUCGCAUUGUAAUUUGUAGAGGAUGCUUUGGGUAAAACGCCAUGUCUAAGUUCCUUGGAACAGGACGUCAUAGAGGGUGAGAAUCCCGUAUGUGACUGGAAAUGUUAACCUAUGUAAAGCUCCUUCGACGAGUCGAGUUGUUUGGGAAUGCAGCUCUAAAUGGGAGGUAAAUUUCUUCUAAAGCUAAAUAUUGGCGAGAGACCGAUAGCGCACAAGUAGAGUGAUCGAAAGAUGAAAAGCACUUUGGAAAGAGAGUUAAAAAGCACGUGAAAUUGUUGAAAGGGAAGCGCUUGCAAUCAGACUUGUUUAAACUGUUCGGCCGGUCUUCUGACCGGUUUACUCAGUUUGGACAGGCCAGCAUCAGUUUCGGCGGCCGGAUAAAGGCAUUGGGAAUGUGGCCUUCACUUCGGUGGAGGUGUUAUAGCCCAGUGUGUAAUACGGCCAGCCGGGACUGAGGUCCGCGCUUCGGCUAGGAUGCUGGCGUA
rnacentral:rRNA from 1 species